CACGUCUUUAUUUCAAAGCACUUCCUACAAGUUAUCUACGCGUAGUUGAAAAUUUGUUUUAAAGCAUGGAUUUUGUAAGGACAUGCGGUGCAUUUAUUGUGCUUUAUUUGCAAUUUUCAAUCAAAGAAGCUGUGAAGGAUUAUGUCAAACUGUGCGAUGAAUUGAAUUUGAAGCCUGCAUUGACCAUCUUUCAGUCAGGCGUUUUAUCCAAUGUCUAUACAGGAUACAUUAAUUUGGCUUCUCAAUCGGACGAAGAACCUCAGUGUACAAUAACCCCGUACCAUACACAACAUCCAACCAUACUUGUCUUGGUCUCCUUUGUUAAAGGCUCAACAACACAUUCCAUGUCAAUAUGCUUUGAUCAAAAUCAUACAAAGAAUUGUGUAGGGGAAGAUCGCUUCUUGUUCAUGAAGUCCAUAAUUACACUUUACUACCGAACUGAUAAACAGUCCACAGGACACAUCGCGUGUUUG